AAACCACGAUAGGUCAUGAUUUCUGGAAUGGAUCAUGGCCCAAAUCUACAUGGCCCCUGGAUUGGACUGCGGCCCAUCAGGCAGUUGGUGAGGUAAAGGCCCACCAAACCUAUAACCGGUACGGGCUCUGAGAGGAGAAGCCCGGAGAUGGGCACUGAGACAAGGGCCCAGGCCCUAUGGGGCGCAGCAGGCGCGAAACCUCUGCAAUAGGCGAAAGCCUGACAGGGUUACUCUGAGUGAUUUCCGCUAAGGGGAUCUUUUGGCACCUCUAAAAAUGGUGCAGAAUAAGGGGUGGGCAAGUCUGGUGUCAGCCGCCGCGGUAAUACCAGCACCCCGAGUGGUCGGGACGAUUAUUGGGCCUAAAGCAUCCGUAGCCGGUUCUGCAAGUCUUCCGUUAAAUCCAGCCGCUCAACGGAUGGGCCGCGGAGGAUACUACAGGACUAGGAGGCGGGAGAGGCAAGCGGUACUCAGUGGGUAGGGGUAAAAUCCUUUGAUCCAUUGAAGACCACCAGUGGCGAAGGCGGCUUGCCAGAACGCGCUCGACGGUGAGGGAUGAAAGCUGGGGGAGCAAACCGGAUUA
rnacentral:rRNA from 1 species